UACGAAGGGGGCUAGCGUUGUUCGGAGUUACUGGGCGUAAAGGGCGCGUAGGCGGGCUUGUAAGUCAGAUGUGAAAGCCCCGGGCUCAACCCGGGAAUAGCAUUUGAUACUGCGAGGCUUGAGUCCGGGAGAGGAUGGCGGAAUUCCCAGUGUAGAGGUGAAAUUCGUAGAUAUUGGGAAGAACACCGGUGGCGAAGGCGGCCAUCUGGACCGGUACUGACGCUGAGGCGCGAAUGCGUGGGGAGCAAAUAGG
rnacentral:rRNA from 1 species